rnacentral:rRNA from 1 species
UCCCUACGGGAGGCAGCAGUGAGGAAUAUUGGUCAAUGGGCGGGAGCCUGAACCAGCCAAGUCGCGUGAGGGACGACGGUCCUAUGGAUUGUAAACCUCUUUUGUCGGGGAACAAAGGCGCCCACGGGUGGGCGGAUGAGUGUACCCGAAGAAAAAGCAUCGGCUAACUCCGUGCCAGCAGCCGCGGUAAUACGGAGGAUGCGAGCGUUAUCCGGAUUUACUGGGUGUAAAGGGCGUGUAGGCGGGCCUGCAAGUCAGAAGUGAAAUCUGGGGGCUUAACCCCUAAACUGCUUUUGAAACUGUGG